CUUUAUGGGAGCAGAUAACCAGGUUUUUUCUCUCGCAGAGUGGCUGGUGGGUUCAAACUGCCAUCCUUUCUGUUAACAGCCAAGAGUUUAAUCAUGGCACCACCAGGGCUCCUAAUCUGAUACAAGUGGUGUCCUUAUAAAGAGGAGAAGAUCCAGAGGCAGGGAGCAGAGGAAGGAUGCCAUGUGAUGCUGCAGCUGUGAGUCGAAGAACACCUGGAGCUACCAGCAGCUGGGAGAGAGGCAUGUAAGUGAUUCUUCCUCAAAGCCUCAGCAGAAAUCACCACAGCGACAACCUGACCUCAGACUCCCAGUUUCCAGAACUGUGAGACGAUCAAUUUCUGUUCUUCUAAGCCACCCACCUCAUUACAGUAGCCCUAAGAAGCCAAUACAGUAGGGAAUCCAUAAUGCUUGGGGCUCCAGUGACCAAUCUCUGGAGCUCGUUGGCAUCAACAUAGUGCUGGUGUCAAUCUCAAGAGCCGUUCAGUGAGGAGAUUUUACCAGGUUUGAGCCAACAGAAAGGGUCCACUCUGAAAAUGCAAAUGGAUCCAUAGUCGCAGAAAGCAGCUCGAUGUUGCCUGGAGAUGGGGCAGGAACAGGACAGAGGAAUUACAAAGGGCUGCGAAGUAACUUUUGGGGGCAGCACUGUUGUCUGGAACGUUGCCUGUUACUAAGACAAGGAAGAGAACAUGGCAGACUACUAGGAGCUGGCUCUUCAAGAGUAACUUCUGCUCAUAGUUCAUUGGUCAAGCAAGUCACAUGGCUAAGCCUGACGUCAGUGGGGUGUGGGAGUAUAUUACCUCCUCAGAGUAGCACAGUGACAAUGUGUAAGCAAUAAUACAAAAUAUAAUCACAGAAAUCUACUGAACUGCUUAUAUUGAUUACUCCUGGGGUCAAGGUGGGAAGAGGAGAAAGAGGGGUAAAGGAGAUGUUACCUUUUGCUUAAUAAUACUUCUGUAUUAUUUUAACAUCUUAAAAAAACCUGUACUAUUUUUUUGUAAUUAAAAACACCUCUUAAUUAUUUUUAACAUUUUAUUAUAGAAAUAUUUCAAAUAUAUGCAAAAGGAUAAAGAAUAGUAUGAUAAACCCUCAUCUUUAUUUUUUAAUUUAUUGUGGUGAGUAUAUAUAUAAGAAAAAAUUUGCUACCUUCCAACAUUUCUUAACUCAUGGACGAGCUUGUUUCAGCAAUAACCCUAUCCACUCGCCCUCCCAGGUUAUUCUGAAGCAAAUCUCUGAUAUAUUAUUGUGUCUAAUUAAAUAUUUCAAUAUGCAUCUCUAAAGUAAUGAUUCUUUUAGGAAAAAAAAAAACACACACACAAUAUCAUUGUCACAUCUAAAAAUUAACAGUAAUUCUUUAAUAUCAUCAAAUAUCCAGUCAAUGUUCAAAUUUUCCCAACUGUCUCAUAUAUUACUUUGUUUUUAAGGUUUGUUCGAAUCAAGCUCCAAAUAAGAUCCAUAGGAUAUAUUUAUUGCUAUGUGUUUAAAUGUCUUUAAUCUACACGUCUCUCUUCCAUCUCUCUUUCUCCCUUUCUUUUAUUUUUCUCGCUAUGUAUUGUUGAAGAAACCAGGUUGUUUGUCCUACACAAUUUUUCUACAGUAAAAUUUUCAGAUUGCUUUCCCAUGAUGAAGUUUAACAUGUUUCUCUGUCCGCUGUAUUUCUGGGAAAUUGGAGUGAGAUUUAGAGACUUGAUUAGAUUUAGUUUCGCUUUUUAGACAAGAAUAACUCAUAAGUCGAAUUGUGUACUUCCAUCAGAAGGCACAUGUCAAGUUGCUUUCUUUUUUUUGUUUUUCAGUAAUUGUCAUGGAUGGAAUUAUGUCCCCCCAAAAAUGUGUGUAUCAGUUGGGCUGGACCAUGAUUCCUGGUAUUGUGUGAUUUUCUUAUAUGCUGUAAAUCCUUCGUCUAUGAUGUUAAUGGGGAGGAUGGGCAGCAGGUGUGUUAGUGAGGCAGGAAUUAACCUAAAGAUUGGAUUGUGUCUUGAGGCAAUCUCUGAUAUGAAAGAGAGAAGCAAGCAGAGAGACAGGGGGACCUCUUACCACCAAGAAAGCAGUGCUGGGAGCAGAGCGUGGCCUUUGGACCCGGGGUCCCUGCUCGGAGAAGCUCCUAGCCCAGGGGAAGAUUGACUAGAAGGACCUUGCUCCAGAGUCAACAGAGAGAGAAAGCCUUCCCUUUGAGCUGAUGCCCUGAAUUUGGACUUUUAGCCUUCUAGGCUGUGAGAAAAUAAAUUUCUCUCUGUUAAAGCCAUCUACUUGUGGUAUUUCUGUUAUAGCAGCACUAGAUGACUAAGACAGUAAUAUUCUAUAAUGUUUUUGGUGAAGGUUUACACGGCACCUUAGGUUCCCAUUCAACAAUUUCUACACACACUGUUCAGUGACAUUGGUUACAUUCUUCAAAAUGUGUGAACGUUCUCAGUAUUUCCAUUAAUCUAAUUUCCCUGCCCCCUUACAUGCUCUUCUUCCUUUUAAAGUAAUUGUUGACCAUUUGGUCUCAUAUAGGUGAUUUUUAAAAGGAGUACAGUACCUACAGGUGAUAUUCAUUAUUUUGUGGGCCAAUCUGUUAUUCAACUAAAAGGUGACCUCAGGGGCUAGUUUCAGUUCAAGGG